rnacentral:rRNA from 1 species
UACGUAGGUGGCGAGCGUUGUCCGGAUUUAUUGGGCGUAAAGCGCGCGCAGGUGGUGCGCUAAGUCCGUCGUGAAAUCGCCCGGCUCAACUGGGCGGGUGCGGCGGGGACUGGCGGACUGGAGGCACUCAGAGGCCGGUGGAAUUCCCGGUGUAGUGGUGAAAUGCGUAGAGAUCGGGAGGAACACCAGUGGCGAAGGCGGCCGGCUGGGGGUGACCUGACGCUGAGGCGCGAAAGCGUGGGGAG